rnacentral:misc_RNA from 1 species
GUGAGAGGAAAUAAGUGUAUGCUGCUUGCUCGAUUGGCUCAUGAGUAUGGACCAGAGGUUGACUGAGGCGGCUCAAAUACGAGAUAUUGGUGAGAGAUUGAGGCAGGCCGCUCGAGCAGGAGAUAUUGACGCGUUGCAUGCUCUAAUCCGUGAAGAUACUCGUGUUUUGGAACGUGUCGAUGAGGUGCCUUUUGUUGACACUCCAUUGCAUAUAGCUGCAUCUGCAGGACAUAUUCAAUUUGCUAUGGAGAUAGUGAACUUGAAGGCAUAGUUUACCAGGAAGCUAAACCCAGAUGGGUUUAGCCCCAUGCAC